rnacentral:rRNA from 1 species
AUUGAACGCUGGCGGCAUGCUUUACACAUGCAAGUCGAACGGCAGCACGGGUGCUUGCACCUGGUGGCGAGUGGCGAACGGGUGAGUAAUGCAUCGGAACGUGCCCAUGAGUGGGGGAUAGCCCAGCGAAAGCCGGAUUAAUACCGCAUACGCCCUUAGGGGGAAAGCGGGGGAUCUUCGGACCUCGCGCUAUUGGAGCGGCCGAUGUCGGAUUAGCUAGUAGGUGAGGUAAAGGCUCACCUAGGCGACGAUCCGUAGCUGGUCUGAGAGGAUGAUCAGCCACACUGGGACUGAGACACGGCCCAGACUCCUACGGGAGGCAGCAGUGGGGAAUUUUGGACAAUGGGCGCAAGCCUGAUCCAGCCAUGCCGCGUGAGUGAAGAAGGCCUC